rnacentral:tRNA from 1 species
AACUAUGUGGCCUAAGGGAUAAGGCAGGUCUGACUUCGGGUCAGGAGAUUGAGGGUUUGAAUCCCGUCGUGGUUG